rfam:Caenorhabditis elegans chromosome X
UGGACGAAAGAUACAUACGAUCUUACAUCUUCAAAAUGGUAUGUAAGCUCGUUUUAGUAUCUUUCGUCUC